rnacentral:rRNA from 1 species
GUGAGGAAUAUUGGUCAAUGGGCGAGAGCCUGAACCAGCCAAGUCGCGUGAAGGAAGAAGGAUCUAUGGUUCGUAAACUUCUUUUGCAGGGGAAUAAAGUGCAGGACGUGUCCUGUUUUGUAUGUACCCUGAGAAUAAGGAUCGGCUAACUCCGUGCCAGCAGCCGCGGUAAUACGGAGGAUCCGAGCGUUAUCCGGAUUUAUUGGGUUUAAAGGGUGCGUAGGUGGUUUGAUAAGUCAGCGGUGAAAGUUUGCAGCUUAACUGUAAAAAUGCCGUUGAAACUGUCGGACUUGAGUGUAAAUGAGGUAGGCGGAAUGCGUGGUGUAGCGGUGAAAUGCAUAGAUAUCACGCAGAACUCCGAUUGCGAAGGCAGCUUACUAAGCUACAACUGACACUGAAGCACGAAAGCGUGGGGAUCAAACAGGAUUAGAUACCCCGGUAGUCC